CCUUGACUCCCUUAUAGAGCUAUUUCAUCCUUCAUCAGUCUGUUGCCUCAGAAUCGUUGUCUGUUGACACAUUCAGCAAUAAGAAUGAUGUCUACGUGGCCAUUUCUGCUCCCAGCACAGAGAGCUGUAUGAUUUUCCAGUGGGACCACAUAGAAAUGAACUUCAGGACUUAUGAUAACAUCACAGGUCAGUCCAUUGUGGGGUGCAAAUCUGUUAUCAUCGAAAAUGAGGUGUUUGUCAUUGUGGCUCAGCUGUUUGGUGGUUCCCACAUUUACAAGUUUGAUGACGACCAAAGCAGGUUCAAAGAGAAAGGACCU